rnacentral:tRNA from 1 species
ACAUCUUUAGCUGAAUUGGAAAAGCAUUUUGCCUUCGAAGCAACUGUAUAUUGGUUCAAAUCCAAUAAGAUGUA